rnacentral:snRNA from 1 species
AUUGCUUCCCGGCCUUUUGGCGAAGAUCAAGUGUAGUAUCUGUUCUUAUCAGUUUAAUAUCUGACACGUCCUCUAUCGGAGGACAAUAUAUUACACGGAUUUUUGGAAUAGGAGUUUGCUCCGCCCACUCCAUACAUCGACCUGGUAUUGAAGUACGUCCAGGAAUGGUGCACCCCCU